AUUGAACGCUGGCGGCAGGCCUAACACAUGCAAGUCGAGCGGAUGAAGGGAGCUUGCUCCUGGAUUCAGCGGCGGACGGGUGAGUAAUGCCUAGGAAUCUGCCUGGUAGUGGGGGAUAACGUCCGGAAACGGGCGCUAAUACCGCAUACGUCCUGAGGGAGAAAGUGGGGGAUCUUCGGACCUCACGCUAUCAGAUGAGCCUAGGUCGGAUUAGCUAGUUGGUGGGGUAAAGGCCUACCAAGGCGACGAUCCGUAACUGGUCUGAGAGGAUGAUCAGUCACACUGGAACUGAGACACGGUCCAGACUCCUAUGGGAGGCAGCAGUGGGGAAUAUUGGACAAAGGGCGAAAGCCUGAUCCAGCCAUGCCGCGUGUGUGAAGAAGGUCUUCGGAUUGUAAAGCACUUUAAGUUGGGAGGAAGGGCAGUAAGUUAAUACCUUGCUGUUUUGACGGUACCAACAGAAUAAGCACCGGCUAACUUCGUG
rnacentral:rRNA from 1 species